AUGCAUUGGAUGGCAUGGUGGAAGAUGUGUGUACCAAAAGACCAGGGAGGAAUGGGUUUUCGAGACAUACAUUGUUUCAAUCUGGCCUUAUUAGCCAAACAAGCGUGGCGCCUGCUUGAUAACCCUGAUUCACUAUGUGCUACAAUUUUGAGAGCUAAAUAUUUUCCAGAUGGAGAUUUAAUGAAUGCGAGUUUGAAAAAAGGAUCCUCUUUCACGUGGCAAAGCAUCAUGGCCGGAAUUUGA
rnacentral:rRNA from 1 species